rnacentral:lncRNA from 1 species
CUCAAUUCCCACUUUUUUCCAAAUUACAAAACCUAAUUUCAGUUUUCUUUUCGCACUUUGCCUCCAAUCGUCGCUUCAGUUCACCUACUCCAGUUAACCGUUUGUCGUUGUCAUCGUUGCGUCUCCACUGCACUGCACCGUGUCGCCGUGACUGGUCUGACAUUGUUCUUCGGUUGUCUUUUUUUUUUAUUUUAAUCUUCAGUUUUUUCUUUUUCUUCGUUUCCGCUCCCUCUCUAAGUUUUUUUCUCAUCCUUUCAGCUUCAGCCUUUAUCGUUGCUAUUGAGCUCCACCUCCUGCUCCACGACGGUCAACUUCCACCGUCGCUGCUCCAACAUUGGAAGUAAAGUUUUGAAAUUUCACAUUUUUUUUGGGAUUAUUGUUGUGUUGUUUUGUUGCUUUGUUGUUGCUUUGUGAAUGUAAUCUCACAUACAUUUUAACUUAACUGAAACUUAAAUUCUUAAUAUG